rnacentral:rRNA from 1 species
GUAAUUUAACCGUGCGAAGGUAGCAUAAUCAGUAGUCCUUUAAUUGGGGGCUGGAAUGAAUGGUUGGACAAAGGGUUAUCUGUCUCUUUUGUACCGUUUCUAACUUUACUUUUAAGUGAAAAGGCUUAAAUAUUCUUGGGGGACGAUAAGACCCUAUAAAACUUUACAGUUUGAUUUAUACUUUUUGAAUUAUAGUGUUAUAUUAAUUAUAAACAUCCUGUUGUGUUGGGGCGACAAAGAUAUAAACGAGUAACUGUCAAAUGUAUUAAAUAAUUAUAAUUAGAUAAUUGAUCCUCUAUUAGGGAUUAGAAGACUAAGUUACUUUAGGGAUAACAGCGUGAUUUUCUCUGAGAGUCCUUAUCGACGAGAGUAGUUACGACCUCGAUGUUGAAUUAAGAUUUCUUUUAAAUGUAGCAGUUUAAAAAGUAGGUCUGUUCGACCUUUAAAAUCUU